GGCAAAAUAUUGAGGUCACUGCUUCUUAUGAUAGAUAUAUUGACCUCAAAAUUUUUAGAUAUUGACAUACAAUUAAUAUACCUCUAAUAUUAAAAGCCUAGAACUUAAGAACCUGCUAAGCAAAGCCAAUAAUUUUGGACUCCCUAUUUGUUAAAACCUUUUCACGCUAUGACUUUAAACAGGUCCUUUUGUUUGAGGUUUUUACGUAGAUGUGAAUACAUAAUGAAUUUAAGAAAGUGUAUCAUUUCUCCAAAGACAGUGAGUGUAUCUUCUAUUGAUUAUUAUAACACAUAAAUCACUUUAAAAACUUUUAUACGUGUCGCUGGUUCGCUUUCCUGCCGUUUACAGUGAAGAGAAAAUUAGGGCGGAAGAAGAGAGAGACUACGAAUCGGCAGUUAAAUGCCUGUUCCAGUCACGUGGAUUUCCCUGGAAAAAAAUUAAGCAAACAAAAAUGGGAGCAGCAAUGCUAUGGAACUUGAAUGCGCAAAACAGUCAUCUAAAUUCUUCGAAUGACAAGAUCUGAGGAUUGACAAUGUUAUCAGUGACCGAGGUAAAGGGAUAACCAAGCGGAUGAAUACCAAGUAAAAAGAAAAUACACAUUUCAAUGAUACUUUGCACUUGAAAAAAAGCAGUAACAAGAAACUGAGGAAGGCAAGCAAAGAGAAACGAUGUGAAAGAAUUAAUGAUGGGCUUAAAGGAAUUUGUAUACAUUUGUAUUGGAGUGCACAAACAACAAUGCCUGGAUUUGAGGCCUUGUUACUGGAAAAUGAAAGCUUACUUUUAGACAUAUGGCAGGCAAACAUGAAAAUCAUCCAGAUCGUUUGUUUACAUCUUUUGCCCUUGAUGAGAUCGAGGAACAAAAUGGAGUCCAAUGAUUUUCAUGUGUUUACAAUGUUUCCCUGUCGUCAUAAUUUUUUUUGUUAAAGAUAUAAUUAAAUUAAGAAAAUAAAAGUAAAUAAUAAAUUGAUAUGCUCUAAGAAAAACACUUUAGAUAAAUUAUUUCUUCUCUUUACUUCAAUGAGAAAUUCCAUCGCACAUCAAAAAAUAAAGCAUGUCACCACUUCCUACAAUAUAUAAUUUCCAAAAUACAAAACUUGGUGAAGAAGUUUUUCGUAAAGUAACAUUUCAAUCAACUUAUCUAAAUGUUUGUUCUUAUUGCCUUUUUGUAUUUAAUGUUUCCGUGUUUUUUAUUAAGCUUUUUUACAUAACACAAAACUAUUGUUUUAGUAAUUGUUGAUUUUUAAUAACAAGUUCAAGUUUACAUGUUUGUAAAUGUA